rnacentral:rRNA from 1 species
UACGGAGGGUGCGAGCGUUGUCCGGAAUCACUGGGCGUAAAGGGCGCGUAGGCGGCGCGGAUAGUCGGCGGUGAAAGCCCGGAGCUCAACUCCGGGUCGGCCGUCGAUACUUCCGGGCUUGAGCACUGUAGAGGCAGAUGGAAUUCCGGGUGUAGCGGUGGAAUGCGUAGAGAUCCGGAAGAACACCGGUGGCGAAGGCGGGUCUCUGGGCCGAUAUCGACGCUGAGGAGCGAAAGCGUGGGGAGCGAACAGG